UCACGUCUUGUCUUUUUCCUUAUUUUUUUUGAACGAAAUCUUUUUCCUUAUUUCUUCUUAGGGAUAUCGCACGCUCACGUUACAAACCACAACCCGGCCUGGUGAUUUUUCCCUCAUUUUUUUUAUUUAUACAUGCACACACAAGUCACACCAGUAGUAGUCCUAAUUAGACACUAACGUAACUCAUAUGAGAACCUUGUUUGAAGACAUUUUAUACCAAAAUUCGGCGCAAAAUUGGAUCAAUGCAGGAAAAGAAAAAUGGUCGUCAGCUGCAUGC
rnacentral:lncRNA from 1 species